UCGGGAAUUUUGGGCAAUGGGCGAAAGCCUGACCCAGCAACGCCGCGUGAAGGAUGAAGUAUUUCGGUAUGUAAACUUCGUAAGAAUAGGAAGAAUAAAUGACGGUACUAUUUGUAAGGUCCGGCUAACUACGUGCCAGCAGCCGCGGUAAUACGUAGGGGCCAAGCGUUGUUCGGAUUUACUGGGCGUAAAGGGCGCGUAGGCGGUGUGUCAAGUCAGUUGUGAAAUCUCCGAGCUUAACUCGGAACGGUCAACUGAUACUGUCACACUAGAGUACAGAAGGGGCAAUCGGAAUUCUUGGUGUAGCGGUGAAAUGCGUAGAUAUCAAGAGGAACACCUGAGGCGAAGGCGGGUUGCUGGGCUGAUACUGACGCUGAGGCGCGAAAGCUAGGGUAGCAAACGGGAUUAGAUACCCCCGUAGUCCCUGAGCGGGCUGGCAAGGCGCAU
rnacentral:rRNA from 1 species